AGAGUUUGAUCCUGGCUCAGGACGAACGCUGGCGGCGUGCUUAACACAUGCAAGUCGGGGGGCUCGGCAAGGGUCACCGGGCGAACGGGUGCGGAACACGUGAGCGACCUGCCCUGGGUGUGGGGGGAUAGCCGGCCCAACGGCCCGGGUAAGACCGCAUACGCCUCCGGCCUGAGGGUCGAGAGGGAAACGGAAGGCACUGGGAGGGGCUCGCGGCCUAUCAGCUAGUUGGGGGGUAACGGCUUCCCAAGGCGAUGACGGGUAGCUGGUCUGAGAGGAUGGCCAGCCACAUUGGGACUGAGAGACGGCCCAGACUCCUACGGGAGGCAGCAGUGGGGAAUCUUGCGCAAUGGGCGAAAGCCUGACGCAGCGACGCCGCGUGGGGGAGGAAGGCCUUCGGGUUGUAAACCCCUUUGGCCCGGGACGAACGACCGGCUUUGGCUGGUGUGACGGUACCGGGAGAACAAGCACCGGCUAACUCUGUG
rnacentral:rRNA from 1 species